GGGUGUUUAGUGUAAUGGUAACACAGGCGCAGAUCCGGGUUCGAGUCCCGGAAUAUCCG
rnacentral:tRNA from 1 species